GCAUCGAUGGUUUAGUGGUAGAAUGCUCGCCUGCCACGCGGGCGGCCCGGGUUCGAUUCCCGGUCGAUGCA
rnacentral:tRNA from 2 species